UACGAAGGGGGCUAGCGUUGUUCGGAAUUACUGGGCGUAAAGCGCGCGCAGGCGGUUCUUCAAGUCAGUGGUGAAAGCCCGGAGCUCAACUCCGGAAAUGCCAUUGAAACUGUGAAACUUGAGGACGAGAGAGGUGAGUGGAAUUCCCAGUGUAGAGGUGAAAUUCGUAGAUAUUGGGAAGAACACCGGUGGCGAAGGCGGCUCACUGGCUCGUUUCGUG
rnacentral:rRNA from 1 species